GAUGAACGCUAGCGGCAGGCCUAAUACAUGCAAGUCGAACGGUAAGUAUUUUAGCAAUAGAAUACGAGAGUGACGUACGGGUGCGUAACACGUAUGCAACCUACCCUUUACAGGAGGAUAGCUCGGGGAAACUCGAAUUAACCCUCCAUGAGAUCACAGUGUGGCAUCACACAGUGAUUAAAACUCCGGUGGUAAAGGAUGGGCAUGCGUCUGAUUAGUUAGUUGGCGGGGUAACGGCCCACCAAGACGAUGAUCAGUAGGGGAACUGAGAGGUUGAUCCCCCACACUGGCACUGAGAUACGGGCCAGACUCCUACGGGAGGCAGCAGUAGGGAAUAUUGGUCAAUGGGAUGGAAGUCUGAACCAGCCAUGCCGCGUGCAGGAAGAAGGCCUUCUGGGUUGUAAACUGCUUUUGCCAGGGGAUAAAAAGACCAUGCGUGGUUAAUUGAAGGUACCUGGUGAAUAAGCCACGGCUAACUACGUGCCAGCAGCCGCGGUAAUACG
rnacentral:rRNA from 1 species